CCCUUAGAUGUUCUGGGCCGCACGCGCGCUACACUGAUGCAUUCAACGAGUCUAAAACCUGCUCUGAUAGGGGUGGGUAAUCUUUUGAAUGUGCAUCGUGAUUGGGAUAGAUGAUUGCAAUUUUUCAUCUUCAACGAGGAAUAUCUAGUAAACGCAAGUCAUCAGCUUGCAUUGAUUACGUCCCUGCCCUUUGUACACACCGCCCGUCGCUCCUACCGAUUGAAUGAUCCGAUGAAUAUCAUGGAUUGAGGAUGCAAGCAGGUUCGCCUGUCUUCAUCUUCGAGAAGUGAAGUAAAUCUUAUCAUUUAGAGGAAGGAGAAGUCGUAACA
rnacentral:rRNA from 1 species